UCCCCUGUAGCUCAAUGGCAGAGCAUCCGGCUGUUAACCGGAGGGUUGUAGGUUCGAAUCCUACCAGGGGAGCC
rnacentral:tRNA from 1 species